AGAGAAGUUGCGUGAAGUGCAACCAACCGCAGUAACAUGGCCACUUUAAACAAUCCAAUAUUCUCUCUUCCACGUCAUCGCCGACUACCACCCCCAAACCUUACUUCCAUAACGGUCAAUAACGGCCGAUACUUCGAAAACCAUCCAACACUCACACACAUUGAUAAUUGUUCAAAUUCCAAACAACUCAAACAAAUCCACGCCCAAAUGCUCCG
rnacentral:lncRNA from 1 species